UACGUAGGGAGCAAGCGUUGUCCGGAUUUAUUGGGCGUAAAGAGCUCGUAGGCGGCUUAGAAAGUCAGGUGUGAAAACUCCAGGCUCAACCUGGAGACGCCACUUGAUACUUCUAUGGCUUGAGUUCGGUAGGGGACCAUGGAAUUCCUGGUGUAGCGGUGAAAUGCGCAGAUAUCAGGAGGAACACCGAUGGCGAAGGCAGUGGUCUGGGCCGAAACUGACGCUGAUGCGCGAAAGCCAGGGGAGCGAACGGG
rnacentral:rRNA from 1 species